rnacentral:lncRNA from 1 species
ACUAUUUAUUGCAAACAAGAAUUUUAAUGUCAAGGAUUUGAAACCAGAGGGCGUGCGGCGGUGAGUAUUUAGACACAUUUCUUUAACCGACGUCGACAUUAAUUGUUUCGAAGAAUCUAUAUACAUUUCCUUAAUUUCUCCUCUUUCAAAUUCUAAUUCAAUUAAAUAAUUCGAAAUCAACCUUUGAUUUUCUUUCAAUUUGCUUGCUCCUCUUUUUUCAUCAGGUUGAUUUUCAAUAGAAUAGAAGGGUUUGUUUUUCAAUCUUUUUGACUCACCAUAGCACAUACUUCGAACUGCUGGCGGACAGAUUGAAUUCCUUGACGCACAACACACCGGCAUGGAGACUCUAAUGGACUGUAACGGCAGUCGCGUGCGGCAUGGUUAAUCUGGAAGGAAAAAAACAACAGAACAAAGAUGAACUGACAAUGCAGGUUUGAGACUCAAGUACUUAAAUUGUAUUAAUCUACUCUGUAAUUGAUAUUAAAGUACAACAUUUUUGAUAUCAAAUAUAUUCUUGCGUUUUAAAAUAACGAAUCGAUUUCGAUCUUUGAAAUAGAUUCGUUUAAUUAAAGAUGACUAAUGAUAGUUGAGAUUCGACGAAGUUUAACAUUUUUAUUAUAUUUUAUUAUUUUAUAUUUUUAUUAUAAAAUUAUAUUAUAUAAUUUUUUAAUGUAAAUUUAUAUUAUAUAUUUCAUAA